rnacentral:rRNA from 1 species
UACGUAGGGUGCGAGCGUUGUCCGGAAUUAUUGGGCGUAAAGAGCUCGUAGGCGGUCUGUCGCGUCGAAUGUGAAAACCCGGGGCUCAACUCCGGGCUUGCAUUCGAUACGGGCAGGCUAGAGUUCGGUAGGGGAGUCUGGAAUUCAUGGUGUAGCAGUGAAAUGCGUAGAGAUCAUGAGGAAGACCAGUGGCGAAGGCGGGUCUCUGGACAGUUCCUGACACUGAGGCACGAAGGCCAGGGGAGCAAACGGG